rnacentral:tRNA from 2 species
GGAGAGUUGCCAGAGCGGACGAAUGGGACGGUCUCGAAAACCGUUGAGCACGCAAGUGUUCCAAGGGUUCAAAUCCCUUACUCUCCGCCA